GUAACUAUAGCUUAGUGGUAGAGCACUUGCCCAGCAUGCAAGAAGGCCUAGGUUCAAUGCUAAUAUUGGCA
rnacentral:tRNA from 1 species